rnacentral:rRNA from 1 species
CCCUUAGAUGUUCUGGGCCGCACACGCGCUACACUGAAGGAGGCAGCGUGUACUCCUGGAUCGAAAGAUUUGGGUAACCCGCGAAUCUCCUUCGUGCUAGGGAUUGAGGUUUGCAAUUAUCCUUCAUGAACGAGGAAUUCCCAGUAAGUGCAAGUCAUAAGCUUGCGCUGACUACGUCCCUGCCCUUUGUACACACCGCCCGUCGCUACUACCGAUUGAAAGAUUUAGUGAGGACUUCGGACUGGGACCGAUGCGGCUUUCGGGCUGCGUCGGUAUUCUGGAAAGAUGUCCAAACUGUAUCAUUUAGAGGAAGUAAAAGUCGUAACA